rnacentral:lncRNA from 1 species
AUAAUUGCAUUGCUAAUCUUUGGGUUUGCUAAGGGCUAUUUUACUGGUAAUCGUCCCAUCAUGAGUGCACUACAAACUGCCUUAAUUGGAGCCGUUGCUUCUACUGCUGCUUUCCUCAUUGCAAAGGCUUUUCGUACCUAAAACCUCUCUAUUAUCAAAUUAUGUCAGCAUUAGAAAUAAGAAUAUAUAUAUAUAUAUAUAUAUAUAUAUAUAUUAUUGGAUAUAGUUCUGGACGCAAGUAAGAAGAUCCUUAAUUGAAUUGUAGUUCUUGCUUUUCUAGUAAUUUCUUUUAGAUAUGUUUGCGCCAUUUCUGUAAGUAAAUGUACUCGUUUAAUUAGGAUCUACUUCUUGUCAAAUUGAUAUAUCUUGGGUUUAAAUUUGUUUUCUUGAUCUAGAAAAUCUUAAAAAGUAUAGAAGUUUAAAAGUUUUUUUUGAAGGAUUUUGUUUGGUACCAUCUAAUCGUGUUUUAUGUUUUUAGAUUUUUGGAUUCAUAGAUAUGUUUGUUUGUUGCUAGCUAAGUUAGAUUCAGUUUUUGAAUUCUGUAAUCAAAUAUGAAUAAGAUUGUUAGUUUGAUUAUAUAACUUCUUUUGGUUGAUAAAAGAUUCAAAACUUGAUCUUCUAACCAAUAAUAGUUUCCAACUUACAAUUUUUUACAAAAUAAAAGAGGAAAGAAAACUAUUAUGAUUUUAUAAUUUUGUACAAUAAUAAAACCGUAAUUUUUGUUAAUUAUUUCAUCAUUUGAUUACAAAAGUCAACCAUAGAGCUCCUGCGUUUCAAUUUUCUAAUUUCAACUUCAACCCCAUAGUUUUAGCAAUUACAUCAUUUUUCAUUACAAUAUUAGGAUAAAAAUAUGAGAAUUCAAUUAAAUCAAUUAAUUAGAAUCUUAGUUGACUAACUAGUUUUAAACAAUCAAUAAUCUUUUACCAAAAUUAUAUUAUUAUUUUUUGGGGGAUGUAUCUACUAUUUUUCUCAAUGGAAAUAUAUCUAAAUAAAGUUUUUUAUUAAAAAUUAAAAUUUGAAAACUAAUUUAUAGAAUACCAACCAGACCGUUACAACUUGUAAGCCUGUAAUUACAUGUGGGUAUUUUCAGCCAUAUUCAUGUACUUCUAUGGGUUCCAUGUUCAUAUAAACGGUGAAUCAAUAUUUCUAUUGUAUCAUAUAAAAUUCUAGAAACCUAAACAAAAGUAAACACCAACUAAUUUAGCAUAAGACCGAGUACAAACUUCUUAUAACUUUACGCUCUUUAUAUAUAAAAAAGAAAAUUUGCAUCAUAUGAUAAAAACAUUUAGAAAAAAUCCACCAAUGAUACUUUUUCUUUUACAUAUUAACAAAUAAUUAAUAAUAUUAAAUAACUAUUAGACUGUUACUAACUUUUAAUUUUGCUACUUUUACCGGCACCCUUAUAUAAAAAUCUCAUAUGUAAUGCAAUCAUUUAGAAUCAAUUAUACGCUUUACCUUUACAAUUUUUUUUUGAGAUUAUUUUUACUAAAAUAGAAAAUUCCAUCAAUAAAAUCUCUCAUGCUAACUCGUAUAGACAUGAUAUAUAUAUAUAUAUUUUUUAUUGAAAUAGUGUUUUGAUUUUUAUAAAUUUUUUAGGAGUAACAUACUAUAAGUAAUAUAGAAAUGUUAAAAUUUUAUAAUAAGGAGAGAAAAAAAUUAAAUAAAAAUAAAGAAAAGGGAAAGGAAUUAGAGAUUGACGUAAAGUAAGAAUAAAUAAUUGGGGAAACAAAGAGCAUAAAACUUUUUUAGAAUGCAUUCCCACUUCCCUUUUAUUCUCUUUAAUUUUGUUUUCAAAUCCAUUCAGAAAUUUUAGAAGUAAUAGAAAAAACAAAUGGCCGACCUCGACGGAACCAGAAACCAACUGCCACUCCUCCAGCACCACAAAGAGAAGCAUUUCACCGCCGGGGAGAUCGUCCGGGACAUAAUCAUCGGCGU